UACGAAGGGGGCUAGCGUUGUUCGGAUUUACUGGGCGUAAAGCGCACGUAGGCGGAUCGUUAAGUCGGGGGUGAAAUCCUGGAGCUCAACUCCAGAACUGCCUUCGAUACUGGCGAUCUCGAGUCCGGAAGAGGUGAGUGGAACUCCUAGUGUAGAGGUGGAAUUCGUAGAUAUUAGGAAGAACACCAGUGGCGAAGGCGGCUCACUGGUCCGGUACUGACGCUGAGGUGCGAAAGCGUGGGGGAGCAAACAGG
rnacentral:rRNA from 1 species